UACGUAGGGACCGAGCGUUGUCCGGAAUCAUUGGGCGUAAAGAGCGUGUAGGCGGCCUGUUAAGUCUUGCGUGAAAUCUCGGGGCUCAACCCCGAGCGGUCGUGAGAAACUGGCAGGCUAGAGUGCGGGAGAGGAGAGUGGAAUUCCUGGUGUAGCGGUGAAAUGCGCAGAUAUCAGGAAGAACACCCGUGGCGAAGGCGGCUCUCUGGGACGGUACUGACGCUGAGACGCGAAAGCGUGGGGAGCGAACAGG
rnacentral:rRNA from 1 species